GAGGAAUAUUGGUCAAUGGACGAGAGUCUGAACCAGCCAAGUAGCGUGAAGGAUGACUGCCCUAUGGGUUGUAAACUUCUUUUAUACGGGAAUAAAGUGAGGUACGUGUGCCUUUUUGUAUGUACCGUAUGAAUAAGGAUCGGCUAACUCCGUGCCAGCAGCCGCGGUAAUAUGGAGGAUCCGAGCGUUAUCCGGAUUUAUUGGGUUUAAAGGGAGCGUAGGCGGACGCUUAAGUCAGUUGUGAAAGUUUGCGGCUCAACCGUAAAAUUGCAGUUGAUACUGGGUGUCUUGAGUACAGUAGAGGCAGGCGGAAUUCGUGGUGUAGCGGUGAAAUGCUUAGAUAUCACGAAGAACUCCGAUUGCGAAGGCAGCCUGCUGGACUGUAACUGACGCUGAUGCUCGAAAGUGUGGGUAUCAAACAGGAUUAGAUACCCUGGUAGUCCACACAGUAAACGAUGAAUACUCGCUGUUUGCGAUAUACAGUAAGCGGCCAAGCGAAAGCGUUAAGUAUUCCACCUGGGGAGUACGCCGGCAACGGUGAAACUCAAAGGAAUUGACGGGGGCCCGCACAAGCGGAGGAACAUGUGGUUUAAUUCGAUGAUACGCGAGGAACCUUACCCGGGCUUGAAUUGCAACUGAAUGAUGUGGAGACAUGUCAGCCGCAAGGCAGUUGUGAAGGUGCUGCAUGGUUGUCGUCAGCUCGUGCCGUGAGGUGUCGGCUUAAGUGCCAUAACGAGCGCAACCCUUAUCGAUAGUUACCAUCAGGUUAUGCUGGGGACUCUGUCGAGACUGCCGUCGUAAGAUGUGAGGAAGGUGGGGAUGACGUCAAAUCAGCACGGCCCUUACGUCCGGGGCUACACACGUGUUACAAUGGGGGGUACAGAAGGCAGCUACACGGCGACGUGAUGCUAAUCCCUAAAGCCUCUCUCAGUUCGGAUUGGAGUCUGCAACCCGACUCCAUGAAGCUGGAUUCGCUAGUAAUCGCGCAUCAGCCACGGCGCGGUGAAUACGUUCCCG
rnacentral:rRNA from 1 species